rnacentral:rRNA from 1 species
CACGUAGGGGGCAAGCGUUGUCCGGAUUUAUUGGGCGUAAAGAGCUCGUAGGCGGUUCGGUAAGUCGGGUGUGAAACCUCCAGGCUCAACCUGGAGACGCCACCCGAUACUGCUGUGACUCGAGUCCGGUAGGGGAGCGUGGAAUUCCUGGUGUAGCGGUGAAAUGCGCAGAUAUCAGGUGGAACACCGGUGGCGAAGGCGGUGGUCUGGGCCGGCACUGACGCUGUAGAGCGAAAGCGUGGGGAGCAAACAGG